UACAGGGGGGGCAAGCGUUGUUCGGAAUUACUGGGCGUAAAGGGCGCGUAGGCGGCCUCCUAAGUCAGACGUGAAAUCCCCCGGCUUAACCUGGGAACUGCGUCUGAUACUGGGAGGCUAGAGUGCGGGAGAGGGAUGCGGAAUUCCAGGUGUAGCGGUGAAAUGCGUAGAUAUCUGGAGGAACACCGGUGGCGAAGGCGGCAUCCUGGACCGACACUGACGCUGAGGCGCGAAAGCUAGGGUAGCAAACGGG
rnacentral:rRNA from 1 species